UAGGACAGGAGAGGUGGUACAAAUGCAUGUAGAUACCAAGACUUGCAGGAUGUAAAUACCUAAGUUUGUCAUACGUAGUAAAAACCAGUUCAAAUCUCGUGUUUCUUUGUCAAUCCUCAGGCCUGUUUACAUGGAGAGGGGGCGAAUACCUUAAAUGUUACGAUCCUCGUGCCAAGUAGGACAGAUUAGGAGAGGUGGUACAAAUGCAUGUAGAUACCAAGACUUGCAUGAUGUAAAUAUUUAAUCCCAAUAUUAUUGCACAUUCGGUAGCAAAGAUGUUGACACCACAUGUCGUCUGAUGAUGACUUUUACGGGAUCGAAUAAGGUUUGGUCAUUGUAUUCCCUGAAAGGAAUGAGAGGAGAAAAGGAACUGGAAGACCUGGCUAUCUGCAGGCCAAUGCUGGCUGCAGGUCAAUAUUGAAUGCUCUUAUGAAAACUCAUAAGACAAUAACAAAAAAAAGAAGCUGAGGAUGCUGUUUUUAAAACAUGCUCCAUUCAAAAAAGGUGGAUUGAAAUUUAAGAAAGGUGUGACGGGUGCGUCUGCUGCAGGCAGGGAGGAUUUGACGGUCAGCCAGAGGAUUUGGAGAUAUACUGUAAUGUCUUUAAUGUGGACUUGCGUGUGAUUUAAGUUUUCACAAGGGUUUUAGUGUGUGUGAAAGUAUGUCAGUUUUCAAAAUUGAGCUAUGUCAAUUUGCUCAAACUACAUAACUCAAAGAACUUUGAAGCGGUCUUGUUGACGUCAUGAGCUUUUGUUUAAUACCAGUAUUGGUGAUAUAGGCCCAUGAUUAUAUACUGUAGAAAGUGAACAAGUUCACUGCUCAAUACAGAUAGUCAUAUAGCCUGAUCUCUGAAUGAUAUUUAUGAACCAAAAGAAGGCAUAAAAUAAAAACAUACAGUAGUGAUUUGAAUUAUUGAUAUUGUUAAACUAGAUCUGGGCCAGUAUUCAUAACAUACUCGCAUACCAGA